ensembl:snRNA U4 U4 spliceosomal RNA
AGCUUUGCGCAGUGGCAGUAUCGUAGCCAAUGAGGUUUAUCCGAGGUGUGAUUAUUGCUAAUUGAUUUUGGAAUGGGC